rnacentral:rRNA from 1 species
UACGUAGGUGACCAGCGUUGUCCGGAUUUACUGGGCGUAAAGAGCGCGCAGGCGGUCGUUCAAGUCGAGUGUGAAAGCCCCCGGCUCAACUGGGGAAGGUCAUUCGAUACUGUUCGGCUCGAAGAUAGGAGAGGGAAGCGGAAUUUCAGGUGUAGUGGUGAAAUGCGUAGAUAUCUGAAGGAACACCAGUGGCGAAGGCGGCUUUCUGGCCUAUUCUUGACGCUGAGGCGCGAAAGCUAGGGGAGCGAACGGG